rnacentral:rRNA from 1 species
UACGGAGGGGGCGAGCGUUGUCCGAAGUUACUGGGCGUAAAGCGCGCGUAGGCGGGUUGGUAAGUCCGCUGUGAAAGCCCGGAGCUUAACUCCGGAGGGUCGGUGGAUACUGCCAGUCUUGAAGGUGCUAGGGGGAGAUGGAAUUACCGGUGUAGCGGUGAAAUGCGUAGAUAUCGGUAGGAACACCAGUGGCGAAGGCGGUCGUCCGUGGGGCGAUUCUUGACGCUGAGGCGCGAAGCUGGGGGAGCAACGGG